GCAGUGGUGGAUCAGGGGUAGAAUUCUCGUCUUCCACAUGGGAGACCAGGGUUCGAUUCCUGGCCGAUGCG
rnacentral:tRNA from 1 species